CUGAUAAAUGAACAAGUCUACAGUCUUUAGCCAGAUAACAUACAGUAUCUAGUCUGAUAAAUGAACAAGUCUACAGUCUAUAGCCAGAUAACAUACAGUAUCUAGUCUGAUAACAUACAGUAUCUAGUCUGAUAAAUGAACAAGUCUACAGUCUAUAGCCAGAUAACAUACAGUAUCUAGUCUGAUAACAUACAGUAUCUAGUCUGAUAAAUGAACAAGUCUACAGUCUAUAGCCAGAUAACAUACAGUAUCUAGUCUGAUAAAUGAACUAGUCUACAGUCUAUAGCCAGAUAACAUACAGUAUCUAGUCUGAUAACAUACAGUAUCUAGUCUGAUAAAUGAACAAGUCUACAGUCUAUAGCCAGAUAACAUACAGUAUCUAGUCUGAUAAAUGAACAGGUCUACAGUCUAUAGCCAGAUAACAUACAGUAUCUAGUCUGAUAAAUGAACUAGUCUACAGUCUAUAGCCAGAUAACAUACAGUAUCUAGUCUGAUAAAUGAACAGGUCUACAGUAUCUAGUCAGAUAACAUACAGUAUCUAGUCUGAUAAAUGAACAAGUCUACAGUCUAUAGCCAGAUAACAUACAGUAUCUAGUCUGAUAAAUGAACAGGUCUACAGUCUAUAGCCAGAUAACAUACAGUAUCUAGUCUGAUAAAUGAACAGGUCUACAGUAUCUAGUCAGAUAACAUACAGUAUCUAGUCAGAUAACAUACAGUAUCUAGUCUGAUAAAUGAACAGGUCUACAGUCUUUAGCCAGAUAACAUACAGUAUCUAGUCUGAUAAAUGAACUAGUCUACAGUCUAUAGCCAGAUAACAUACAGUAUCUAGUCUGAUAAAUGAACAGGUCUACAGUCUAUAGCCAGAUAACAUACAGUAUCUAGUCUGAUAAAUGAACUAGUCUACAGUCUAUAGCCAGAUAACAUACAGUAUCUAGUCUGAUAACAUACAGUAUCUAGUCUGAUAAAUGAACAAGUCUACAGUCUAUAGCCAGAUAACAUACAGUAUCUAGUCAGAUAACAUACAGUAUCUAGUCUGAUAAAUGAACUAGUCUACAGUCUAUAGCCAGAUAACAUAGCUGGCCAACUCAUAUUCUGUUCUUCUGAAAUACAUUUUCUUCAUAUAGUGUUUCUUUAGACCUGCCUAAAAUAAAUAAAUUAGUUUAUUGUGAUGGUGUUUAAUCAGGUGAUUUAUUAGACUUGAAAAUGUAGCUGUUUAUAAGCUGACAGAAUAUAACUGCCACAGCCCUUAGGUCCCCAACACAUGACCUUAACCCUGACAGAAUAUAACUGCCACAGCCCUUAGGUCCCCAACACAUGACCUUAACCCUGACAGAAUAUAACUGCCACAGCCCUUAGGUCCCCAACACAUG